rnacentral:rRNA from 1 species
AGUCGGACGGCAGCACAGGGAAGCUUGCUUCUUGGGUGGCGAGUGGCGAACGGGUGAGUAACAUAUCGGAACGUACCGAGUAGAGGGGGAUAACUGAUCGAAAGAUGAGCUAAUACCGCAUAUUCUCUGAGGAGGAAAGCCGGGGACCUUCGGGCCUGGCGCUAUUUGAGCGGCCGAUAUCUGAUUAGCUGGUUGGUGGGGUAAAGGCCUACCAAGGCGACGAUCAGUAGCGGGUCUGAGAGGAUGAUCCGCCACACUGGGACUGAGACACGGCCCAGACUCCUACGGGAGGCAGCAGUGGGGAAUUUUGGACAAUGGGCGCAAGCCUGAUCCAGCCAUGCCGCGUGUCUGAAGAAGGCCUUCGGGUUGUAAAGGACUUUUGUCAGGGAAGAAAAGCAAGAUGCGAAUAACAUUUUGUGAUGACGGUACCUGAAGAAUAAGCACCGGCUAA